GACGAACGCUGGCGGCGUGCUUAACACAUGCAAGUCGAACGGAAAGGCCCUGCUUUUGUGGGGUGCUCGAGUGGCGAACGGGUGAGUAACACGUGAGUAACCUGCCCUUGACUUUGGGAUAACUUCAGGAAACUGGGGCUAAUACCGGAUAGGAGCUCCUGCUGCAUGGUGGGGGUUGGAAAGUUUCGGCGGUUGGGGAUGGACUCGCGGCUUAUCAGCUUGUUGGUGGGGUAGUGGCUUACCAAGGCUUUGACGGGUAGCCGGCCUGAGAGGGUGACCGGCCACAUUGGGACUGAGAUACGGCCCAGACUCCUACGGGUGGCAGCAGUGGGGAAUAUUGCACAAUGGGCGGAAGCCUGAUGCAGCAACGCCGCGUGCGGGAUGACGGCCUUCGGGUUGUAAACCGCUUUCGCCUGUGACGAAGCGUGAGUGACGGUAAUGGGUAAAGAAGCACCGGCUAACUACGUGCCAGCAGCCGCGGUGAUACGUAGGGUGCGAGCGUUGUCCGGAUUUAUUGGGCGUAAAGGGCUCGUAGGUGGUUGAUCGCGUCGGAAGUGUAAUCUUGGGGCUUAACCCUGAGCGUGCUUUCGAUACGGGUUGACUUGAGGAAGGUAGGGGAGAAUGGAAUUCCUGGUGGAGCGGUGGAAUGCGCAGAUAUCAGGAGGAACACCAGUGGCGAAGGCGGUUCUCUGGGCCUUUCCUGACGCUGAGGAGCGAAAGCGUGGGGAGCGAACAGGCUUAGAUACCCUGGUAGUCCACGCUGUAAACGGUGGGUACUAGGUGUGGGGUCCAUUCCACGGGUUCCGUGCCGUAGCUAACGCUUUAAGUACCCCGCCUGGGGAGUACGGCCGCAAGGCUAAAACUCAAAGGAAUUGACGGGGCCCCGCACAAGCGGCGGAGCAUGCGGAUUAAUUCGAUGCAACGCGUAGAACCUUACCUGGGUUUGACAUGGAUCGGGAGCGCUCAGAGAUGGGUGUGCCUCUUUUGGGGUCGGUUCACAGGUGGUGCAUGGCUGUCGUCAGCUCGUGUCGUGAGAUGUUGGGUUAAGUCCCGCAACGAGCGCAACCCUUGUUCACUGUUGCCAGCACGUUAUGGUGGGGACUCAGUGGAGACCGCCGGGGUCAACUCGGAGGAAGGUGGGGAUGACGUCAAGUCAUCAUGCCCCUUAUGUCCAGGGCUUCACGCAUGCUACAAUGGCUGGUACAGAGAGUGGCGAGCCUGUGAGGGUGAGCGAAUCUCGGAAAGCCGGUCUCAGUUCGGAUUGGGGUCUGCAACUCGACCUCAUGAAGUCGGAGUCGCUAGUAAUCGCAGAUCAGCAACGCUGCGGUGAAUACGUUCCCGGGGCU
rnacentral:rRNA from 1 species